CUCUAAAUUCUUUAUAAUUUUUUCUAGAAUAAAAAAAUUAGAAGAUAAAUUUUAUUUAAUAAUAAAUAAUUAUUGAGAUUUAGAGUGAUCUCUAGUUAAUUUUGUGCCAGCAACAGCGGUUAUACAAAAAGAGACUUUUUAAUUUAAAAAUUUAAUUAUUUAAAUUUCAAAUUUUUAAUUAAAAAUAAGGUGAAAUUUAUUUUUUUUUUUAAAAACUUAAAAAAUAAAAAUUCUUAUAUAAACUAGGAUUAGAUACCCUAUUAUUUAGAUCAAAAAUAUUGUUAGUAUAUAAAUAUUAUGAAAACAAAAAAUUAUGGCGGUAUUUUAAGCUUUUCAGAGGAAUUUGCUCUUUAAUGGAUAAAACACCUAAAUCUUACUAAAAUUGGUUAAGCAGUUUGUAUACCACUAUUUAAGAAAUAACUUAUAAUUAUUUCUGAAAUUUAUUUAAUAAAAAAAGUUAAGUCAAGGUGCAGCAAAAAUUUUAGAGUGAAGUGAAUUACAUUUCUUUUGAGAAAAUUUUAAAUGAAAAUUAAUUUUUAGGAUUUGAUAGUAAAAUUUCAAUAUAAAGGAAGUUUGAAUUAAGCUCUAAAAUAUGUACAUAUCGCCCGUCGCUCUUUAUUAAAGAUAAGUCGUAACAAAGUUAAAGUACUGGAAAGUGCUUU
rnacentral:rRNA from 1 species